UGGUUCUGGCAUCGAUGAAGAACGCAGCGAAAUGCGAUAAGUAAUGUGAAUUGCAGAAUUCAGUGAAUCAUCGAAUCUUUGAACGCACAUUGCGCCCGCUAGUAUUCUGGCGGGCAUGCCUGUUCGAGCGUCAUUUCAACCCCUCAAGCCCCGCGCUUGGUGUUGGGGCGCACCCGGGGAGCCGCCCAGCGGCCCCGGGCCCCCUAAAGUCAUCGGCGGACGCCCUGUGUGGACUCCGAGCGCAGUAGUUUACUCCUCGCUCUGGUGGACCGGGGCGGCCUUCUAGCCGCUAAACCCCCAAAACUUCUAAGGUUGACCUCGGAUCAGGUAGGAAUACCCGCUGA
rnacentral:misc_RNA from 1 species